UAGCCCUGUACUGAAAAGCAGCAGCUUGAGCAGUCCCACUCUUCCAUGAAGACUUAAAAGGUUCAGCUCCUGUGAGUGCCCGAUUGGCAAAGACAAGUGCCAUCAUAUGGCAGCGUUAUUGAUUUGAGUGGAGAAGAAUGUGUCUCCCAGCGAUGAGGAAUGUGUGUGGAAGAGGGCGAAGGCAUCCAAAGCAGACGAGAUUGUUGCCAAGAGGGUGUCUGAGAUGACACCAUCAACAACACCAGACUCUGCCAAUCAAGACAUUUGAUGGACUUGUAAAAAGAGUAUAGGUUUGGUUCAAGCAGAGGACAGGGCUUCAGUGGCUGUCGCUGAGGAGGAGAGGAAACAGAUUGAGGAAGCCACAGUUGCAUUGUGCAUUGU